rnacentral:rRNA from 1 species
UUGAACGCUGGCGGCAUGCUUUACACAUGCAAGUCGAACGGCAGCGGGGGCUUCGGCCUGCCGGCGAGUGGCGAACGGGUGAGUAAUGCAUCGGAACGUGCCCAGUCAUGGGGGAUAACUACGCGAAAGCGUAGCUAAUACCGCAUACGCCCUGAGGGGGAAAGCGGGGGAUCGCAAGACCUCGCGUGAUUGGAGCGGCCGAUGUCGGAUUAGCUAGUUGGUGGGGUAAAGGCCUACCAAGGCGACGAUCCGUAGCGGGUCUGAGAGGAUGAUCCGCCACACUGGGACUGAGGCACGGCCCAGACUCCUACGGGAGGCAGCAGUGGGGAAUUUUGGACAAUGGGCGCAAGCCUGAUCCAGCCAUGCCGCGUGAGUGAAGAAGGCCUUCGGGUUGUAAAGCUCUUUCGGCCGGGACGAAAUCGCUCUCGUCAAUACCGGGAGUGGAUGACGGUACCGGAAUAAGAAGCACCGGCUAACUACGU